rnacentral:snRNA from 1 species
UUAUCCGCGGACAAAACUGGUCA